rnacentral:rRNA from 1 species
GAUUAACGCUAGCAGCAGGCAUAAUACAUGCAAGUUGAACGGCAGCACAGGUAGCACUACUGGGUGGCGAGUGGCGCACGGGUGCGUAACACGUAUGCAACCUACCCUAUACAGGCGAAUAACCUUUAGAAAUGAGGGCUAAUACGCCGUAGUAUUACAGAUGGGCAUCUAUUUGUAAUUAAAGAUUUAUCGGUAUAGGAUGGGCAUGCGUCCCAUUAGUUAGUUGGUAAGGUAACGGCUUACCAAGACGAUGAUGGGUAGGGGAUCUGAGAGGACUUACCCCCACACUGGUACUGAGACACGGACCAGACUCCUACGGGAGGCAGCAGUAAGGAAUAUUGGGCAAUGGCCGCGAGGCUGACCCAGCCAUGCCGCGUGCAGGAAGACGGCCUUAUGGGUUGUAAACUGCUUUUAUACGGGAAUAAUAGAGUGUACGCGUACAUUUAUGCAAGUAUCGUAUGAAUAAGCAUCGGCUAACUCCGUG